GCCAGUUAGCCCAUCAUGAUGAAUUCAUCAGGAAUUAACCAUGAUAGUUUCCAGGGGGAACCGCGAGGAGGUCGACCUGGUUGGGUAUAUUGCUAGCAAUGGGAUUCUCAGUCUCCAUCACUAACAAUCCCUUUCCCCCCAAUUUGGUAGGGUUAUACGGCCGUAUAACAUUUUCUAUACACUAGUCUGCUAUGAAUUGACAAUUUUAUCACUCCUUCUAUGUAAUUCCUUGUUCUUAGGUUUAUACAUAAUUAAAAUUGCUACCAAUGUUGGGACCAAAAAGUUUCCGUGUUCUAGAAGUUUCUAGUAAUUUUUGUACAUGUCAGCACCGUGUUGCCUGAAUUCCUUAAUGUGUCUUAACCUAGUUGUAUGUUAUCGUUAAAGAAAGGAAUUUCAAAGUGAAUUUAGUACAUCACGGCGCCUUAACUGUUCAAGGAUUAAUUAUUAGGCUUGAAAAACUUUUACCAUUCGAUAGCUCGUUUCCUGAGAUAGGUUAUAGCUUUAACGUAAUGUGGUACGAUCAUAGGUGAAGCUACAGUACACAGCUAGUCAACUGUAAAGAUUUUUGAGCUUCCAAUGUUAAUAUUGUAUGUCUAACUGCCAACUUAGUGUCGGAGACUUGUUUUUCAGUUCGUAUUUGGGAAGGUAUUUAAUUUUACUAAUAAGUAAAUGAUAGUAAAUGAAAUCAUAUUUGUUUGUUGAUUUUAUUUGGCUUUAUAAUUGUAUCCUGUAUAAAUCAAACUAUUUAGUAAUCAGUAAUUAAUUUUUUUUUAAUAAAUAAAUAAAUAAAUGAAUAAAUUUUUGACAUUUACGUCAAACCAGUACCGGUUUUAGUUAGUUGAUAUUGCUAUUUGUUUUUGAAAAUACACAAUUGCGUUGUAGCCAUUUCGAUGUUUUUUUUUUUUUAUAAUUAUUACUAACUUGGACUGCAUUGUUAACUAGACCAUUUAAAUUUUAUUUAUUUUUAAUGAUUAUAAAAAUUGUAUGAUUAAAGUUUAAUAGAUAACUUGUAAAUGUAAAUUUAGGUUUAAUACUAUGAAUCCAUAUUCCAUUUAUGAAGCUUUGGCUUUCUAUAAAGUUUUAUUUUAAAGUAUUUUUUUUAAUAUAUUAUUUCAUACUA